rnacentral:snRNA from 1 species
AAAAAUACCCAGCAGGGAAGAUACCACGAUCACGAGGUGGUUUUCCCAGUGUGGUUAUCCAUUGUUUCUGGGUAUACUGACCCUUUGAUUCUCAAUGUGGAAACUGGACUGCAUAC